UUUGAAAAAUAGAUAAUCACUUAUUAAUUUCUACAGAUAUAUAUAAAAGAAUACAUGCACAUGAUGAGUGUAUAUUCAAUGAGAAGCCCAUUCCUAUGAGAGAGAAUAAUUUUUUCACUAAAAUUCAUAAAUGCAUGUAAAAUUAUUAAUAAAAUAAAAUUUGUCUUCUACCAGAAAACCUAGACCACAAGUAAUAUAGAGGGCAGGUAGGAACUCCAGUCCAGUCAGCGGAUUCUUAAAAAAAAAAAAAAA
rnacentral:lncRNA from 1 species